rnacentral:lncRNA from 1 species
CUUGCUCAGACAGAUGCCAUGAUGGCCUUUCAGGACAUGCUUCUUCAUGCCACAGGGCUUUUGCUCAUCAUGUUGCUUCCUCUGUUUGGGAUUGUCACUUCCUUAGCUGACUUCCUUUGUGGCUUGAGGUCAAGUCUCCCUGCCAUCAAAUACCCUCAAAUAUUAUGGUUUCCAUUUUACAGUUAUUGGUAUGAUUGUGUGACUAACGUCUUUCUCCCCUAAGUGAGGGAGCUCUGUGAGCAGAGGGACUAGGUUGGCCUGGCUCACCUCUGUCAUGCUCAGUGGAUGGUAUGAUAUCAAGAACAAGGUAGACCAUCAAUAAAAACUUGUUAAAGGAACAAAUGAAGGUAUGGAUGCAUGACCCUAUUAUUCUUUGUGUGAAUCUGUAUGAAUACAAAUUUACCAUCUACUUCAAAACUUAAUUCCUGGGAAAAGGAUAGUUUUCUUUAAAAUCAGCUCUUAGAAUAUAGAAGGAACGUGCAAUAAAUCCUGUCACCCAUAUGUUCCUCUUUGACAAGCAGAAUUUAAAAAUUUUUUGGCCACACCCAUGGCAUGCAGCAUGCAGAAGAUCCCAGGCCACAGAAUGAACCUGCAACACAGCAGCAACCCAAGCCACAGCAGGGAGAAUGCUGGAUCCUUAACCUACCGAGCCACCAGGGAACUCCUAAUUUUUAAUUUUUUUAAUCUAACAAUUUUAUGUCAGAUUUCACUCAUAGUCUAUAAUAUUAUUCCACUUACCAUGGAAUUUGAAGUAAAGGAAAUAUUUUGGUUUUCAGUUUGAAACUAUUAGUUUCUCUUCUUUUUCCUUUCCUUUCUUUUCUUUUCACUCACUGAUUUGCAUUUAAGCUUCUUCUUUUCCCUCCUCAGCAGACUGCUUCCUACCCGGGGCUUUCUGGGAUGGAAAGGGCUGCACUGGGGUUUGGAGCUCUGCCACCAUGGUGAUGGGCAGUUAUAGUGGCUGCAUUGUCCAGGGCGGUGCCUGUUACUGUCAGAGCCCAGGGCUCCUCAGCUCCAGUUCUGGUACACACUGUCCUUACUGCUGUUCUCUGAAUAAAAACACCUGGACUUUGGCAAAUAAGAUCAAGAAAAAGAAAAAACAACAAAAAUACAACUUGAAAUUGUGCAUAACUCCAGGUACAAAAGGUAUUAAUUUACAUGAGAUUACUAUGUAGAAAUUUAUAUCAAUAAAAUGUAAAACCUAAGUGGUUAAUUUUCUAGA